rnacentral:rRNA from 1 species
AGCAGCCGCGGUAAUUCCAGCUCCAAUAGCGUAUAUUAAAGUUGUUGCAGUUAAAAAGCUCGUAGUUGAAUUUCGGGACCAAUCUGCCGGUCGUGCCUCUGGUACGCACUGGUUUUAUUGGUUUCUCCCUUCUGACGAACCAUGAUGUCAUUAAUUUGGUGUCAUGGGGAAUCAGGACUGUUACUUUGAAAAAAUUAGAGUGUUUAAAGCAGGCUCACGCUUGAAUACAUUAGCAUGGAAUAAUGAAAUAGGACGUUUGACCCUAUUUUGUUGGUUUCUAGGAUCAACGUAAUGAUUAAUAGGGAUAGUUGGGGGCAUUAGUAUUCAAUUGUCAGAGGUGAAAUUCUUGGAUUUAUUGAAGACUAACUACUGCGAAAGCAUUUGCCAAGGAUGUUUUCAUUAAUCAAGAACGAAAGUUAGGGGAUCGAAGACGAUCAGAUACCGUCGUAGUCUUAACCAUAAACUAUGCCGACUAGGGAUCGGAUGAUGUUAAUUUUUUAAUGACUCAUUCGGCGCCUUA